CAAAAUAUUUCCCUGAUGUCAUUGUGUGAAUCUGUGUUUAAAAAUUGUCUCGUUAUAUGUACACACACUUUAAACAGUAGCAAGUAAAUCGUUAUGAGAGCAAACAUUUUAUGUUUGUAAGUUGUUAUUUAGCUGAUGUUUUGGUAUUUUUUGGGGGGUACAUUUUAAUAAUAAUCUGUAGGCAGUACUGCUAACCUGGAAAGGCAACGUAGUUAUUUCGUCACUCAUGUGGGAGUAGGAAGUGUGAGUUUAUGUGGACAGAACUUAAUGUGAUGUGGUGUGUGUGUGUGUGUGUGUGUGUAGGAGUGUGCUAGACCUAUUAGACACAUUUAACCUACUCGAGGAAAAACGGUUUAAACCUUUGUGGCAAACAUGUUAUCAGAGAAGCUCUUGUGCUUUUUUCUAGCUCUUCUGUUUUGCUACUCUACAAACACCAGUGCCUUGGACAUUACCGUGUCUAGUGGGGAUACUGCCUUUCUACCAUCUCCUUUACCGUUAAACUACACUGACUUUAUGAAGAUUGGAGUUAAGUGGGAAAAGGAUGGAGGGUCAAUUUUAUGUACAUAUUCUAUUCAGAAUAAUGCAACUCAUGACCAUAACUGCAAACUUCGGUUCAAAGUAAAUACAGAACCUUUAGGGCUGAAUAUAACGAGUGUUGAAAGCAGUGAUGCUGGUCUUUAUAAAUGUUUGAUGAUCAGAUUAAUACCACCACCUUCAGAGGAGAGAUCAGUAACCCUGAGGCUUAAAGUUAAUGUUCUACCAUCUAUUACCCUGCAGCUGAAAAACAGCACUAAUGUCUCCUGUGUGGAGCUGCUCUGCUCUCUGCAGGGUUUGAGACCACAGCAGGUGAACUUCACAUGGACCAGAGCAACUCAGCUUCUUCACCAUCAUCCAGAGUCCAGAAGCAUGAACAGUACACUGAUGCUCUGCAAGCCGAACUGGACAGACAGAGAAACACUCACUUGUCACGCCAGUUACUCACACAACCACAUACGCUACAGCAAGAGCAUAACACUCCCAUGCAACUCAGAUUCCACUGCUUGCAAAGUGAAAUUAGGAUGGAGCCAGAGAGGGCAUGUACCAUCAUGUGUGCAGCAGCUGUGCUGCACAACAUUUACCUAGCCAAAAGAGUGCCUCUCCCAAUGGAGGAUUUGGGACCAGUGGAGGAAGAGGUGGAACAAAUCAGAGAACAAGCCACAGAGGAGGAUAUGACUGUUCGUCUCAUCAGAAGCAAUAUAAUUCGGCUGAUCAGCCUAUAAAGGAAUUGCAAUAAGAAUUGUAAAUUCUUAAUGCAAGAAAAAUAUCCUCUUUAAUAAUUUUGUUAGGCUACAUCAAUAUUUCACAUUUUUUAUUGUCUCAAAGCAUAAGCCAAAUGAAUAACAAAGUCAAGCUGUGCAAAACGAUUGCCGGCAUAAUGUUUUUCUUCAUGAAUAUUAUUACUGUAGGCAGCUUGUAAAUAAAUUCUUUAUUGAUGACAUUGUGUAUGUUGAGAAAUAAAAUACAAUUGCUGAUGAAGAUGUCUAAAAAAAUGAUUUAGAUGUAUGGGAUUUAUUCAGGGAUUUAUAGUAUAUUUGUUUUAUUUAUAUUUAUUGUUUGGGAUUAUUUAGAUGUUCAUAAACACACUGUCAUUCUCGAUUGUGUAGCUGGCCCUUUGUAUAGCAAUAGCUGGAUUUCUAAUGCAAGUUUCUGUUUCUCUAGCUCAAGUUUCUCCUUUUCCACCCUUAACUUCUCCGUCUCCGUCUCCAUCUCCACUCUCAUCAUUUCAAUAUGUAGUGAAACUAUUAGUGUGUAUAAUGUAGUACAUAAAAAAGAACAUCUACAUUUAUUUAACAAUCAUGUAUUUAACAAAGUACAUUUUAGCUUCUCUUUGGAGUAUAGAGAAAGUAUCUGUGAUCAUCAGACAGCAAGAAUAAUCCUGUGGAGGCUGAAAUUCUUAAAAUGUCUCAUUUUACUCCACCCACCUUCCUUUUAAACGGGUUUCACUGGCCUACACACACGCACAUACACACACACACACACAAAAAAAAAAAAAAAAAAAAAAAAAAAAAAGGGGAAGAUACAGAAAACACUGCCUACCUCAUUUGGUAAUGCUGUACAUUUUGAUAGUUUGAUUCACUGAGUGUGUGUGCGUGCGUGUGUGUGUGUGUGCGUGUGCGUGCGUGUGUGUUUCAGUGGGCUGUAAGGUUGAGGAGGCAUCAUUACUGAUCAUUGCCGUUAUCAGCACAUGUGCAGGGCUGCUUUUCCUCGUUCUGCUUGGUGUAGCCAUCUUCAAAUGUAAGAAAAGACAUGCUGCAGAUGGUACUGCAUACUACAGAAAUAAAAUCUACGAGAACUUCUCUUUUUCCACAGCUACGAUCAACCCAAAUCCAAGUCCACAAAAUGCUCAGCCUAGUGCCAGAUACAAUAUCAACAGUACUACCAGACCUAUUCCACAGACAAUCACGCAGACUCAGAGAGAGGAAUGCAUCUAUGAGAACUAACAAUAACUAAGCAACUGCUUUCAUAAAAAAACAGGCUCCAAUGUUGGUUUGUGUGCAAUUUAUUUUAUUUAUUACUAGUCACUUUUUCUAAACACAUAAACUGUGGUCACACUAUCACAGUGUCACUACUCUAAGUGUAGUAGGACCCGACUAACAGUUUAUCUCUGUAUAGUGGUUUUGUUUCUUCUAAAUAAAUGGCAAAUAUUGCGCAA